AUGGGGAGAAUCAAUGUUAAUCCUAUUUGGGGUAAGAUCUGGAAAUUAUCUUGUCCAACAAAGGUCAAAAUUUGCAUCUGGCGCACACCGCAUGGCAUUCUACCUUGUCGGGUUACGCUUGCGAACAGACACCUGAAAGUCAUGCCCAUCUGCCCUUCAUGUUCUAGGCGCGAGGAUACAAAUCAUAUGUUGUUUCUUUGUCAGAAAGCUAAGGAGGUUUGGCGUAAGUUGGGAUUGGAUGAGGUGAUCAACAAAGCUUGUGUUAUGGAACGUGCAGGAGAGGCAGUCCUUGAAUUUUUACUUCUUAUGCCAGAUCAUGAUGUAGCUAUAUUGGGAAUCCAGAAGGCCCACGAACUAAUCGCUAUUACCGCUUGGUACUUAUGGUGGGAUAGACGUAGGCUGGUCCUUGAAGGAAAAUUUCAAGAUGCUCAACAAACUUCUAUGGGUAUCCGUGCUAUAGCGGCAAACUUUGUUAAUGCUUUCUCGCCAAAUGUAGUCAGUAAAAGAGUUGCAUGGACUAGACCUCCAUGGGUUUUGUGA
rnacentral:rRNA from 1 species